ACUCAAAGGAAUUGACGGGGCCCCGCACAAGCGGCGGAGCAUGCGGAUUAAUUCGAUGCAACGCGAAGAACCUUACCUGGGUUUGACAUAUACCGGAAACGUCUAGAGAUAGGCGCCCCGUAAGGUCGGUAUACAGGUGGUGCAUGGCUGUCGUCAGCUCGUGUCGUGAGAUGUUGGGUUAAGUCCCGCAACGAGCGCAACCCUCGUCCAAUGUUGCCAGCGGAUAAUGCCGGGGACUCAUUGGAGACCGCCGGGGUCAACUCGGAGGAAGGUGGGGAUGACGUCAAGUCAUCAUGCCCCUUAUGUCCAGGGCUUCACGCAUGCUACAAUGGCCGGUACAAAGAGCUGCAAACCUGCAAGGGUGAGCGAAUCUCAAAAAGCCGGUCUCAGUUCGGAUUGGGGUCUGCAACUCGACCCCAUGAAGUAGGAGUCGCUAGUAAUCGCAGAUCAGCAACGCUGCGGUGAAUACGUUCCCGGGGCUUGUACACACCGCCCGU
rnacentral:rRNA from 1 species